GGGUGUGUAGCUCAGUAGUAGAGCAUCUGCUCUGCAUGUCGAAGGUGCCAGGUUCAACCCCCGACAUCUCCA